rnacentral:rRNA from 1 species
UGGGGGGCAGGCUACACAUGCAAGUCGAGCGGAUGAAGGGAGCUUGCUCCUGGAUUCAGCGGCGGACGGGUGAGUAAUGCCUAGGAAUCUGCCUGGUAGUGGGGGAUAACGUCCGGAAACGGGCGCUAAUACCGCAUACGUCCUGAGGGAGAAAGUGGGGGAUCUUCGGACCUCACGCUAUCAGAUGAGCCUAGGUCGGAUUAGCUAGUUGGUGGGGUAAAGGCCUACCAAGGCGACGAUCCGUAACUGGUCUGAGAGGAUGAUCAGUCACACUGGAACUGAGACACGGUCCAGACUCCUACGGGAGGCAGCAGUGGGGAAUAUUGGACAAUGGGCGAAAGCCUGAUCCAGCCAUGCCGCGUGUGUGAAGAAGGUCUUCGGAUUGUAAAGCACUUUAAGUUGGGAGGAAGGGCAGUAAGUUAAUACCUUGCUGUUUUGACGUUACCAACAGAAUAAGCACCGGCUAACUUCGUGCCAGCAGCCGCGGUAAUACGAAGGGUGCAAGCGUUAAUCGGAAUUACUGGGCGUAAAGCGCGCGUAGGUGGUUCAGCAAGUUGGAUGUGAAAUCCCCGGGCUCAACCUGGGAACUGCAUCCAAAACUACUGAGCUAGAGUACGGUAGAGGGUGGUGGAAUUUCCUGUGUAGCGGUGAAAUGCGUAGAUAUAGGAAGGAACACCAGUGGCGAAGGCGACCACCUGGACUGAUACUGACACUGAGGUGCGAAAGCGUGGGGAGCAAACAGGAUUAGAUACCCUGGUAGUCCACGCCGUAAACGAUGUCGACUAGCCGUUGGGAUCCUUGAGAUCUUAGUGGCGCAGCUAACGCGAUAAGUCGACCGCCUGGGGAGUACGGCCGCAAGGUUAAAACUCAAAUGAAUUGACGGGGGGCCCGCACAAGCGGUGGAGCAUGUGGGUUUAUUUCGAAGCAACGCGAAAAAACCUUACCUGGGCCUUGAAAUGCUGAAGACUUUUCCAGAGAAUGGAUUGGGGGCCUUCGGGAACUCAAAACACAGGUGCUGGAUGGGUUGGCGUCCACCUCCGGUCCUGAAAAUGUUGGGUUAAAUCCCCGUAACCAACGCAACCCCUUGUCCUUAUUUUCCAGCACCUCGGGGGGGCACUCUAAGGAAAAUGGCCGGGGGAAAAACCCGGAGAAAGGGGGG